AUUGAUCACUUCGAGAGGAAUAUCAAAUCUUCCACAACAUGGUUUUCUGUGGUGGAAUGACGGCAUCGAAUUGCAGUGCUGAGAUGCCUGUAAUUCCCACAAUUGCAACCCGACGUCGUCAUUUCACCCCUGACAAUCAUUUGUUGCCCUCUUUCAAGAGUAUUUUGUCACGAAACUUGGCUAUUUUAGGCACCCAUGGCGCUUAGCUAUCUCUCUAAGAGUGUCAAUCAGCACACUAAUGAACCACUUCAUUCGAUCAUACGUGCGUAUAUUCAAGUUUUUUAUGCAUGGUGGUUUAACAAUAGUAAGAAAAUUAUGUUCUAUAUGACUCUGAGCUUGGAUAUUUAUAUUGUCGGCUUAAUUAUUAGUUUGGUUUGGUUUGAUAUUAAUAUGCUUUUAAGAAAAUCAACUUUUGUUACGUUGGAAAAAAAAAAUGGCUGCAGAAAGAAUCAAUUAAGUGUAUGAUAAGCUUUUGUUUCAAAAUAAUUGCAUAUUUAAAAUCAUAAUUUUAACAUUUUGAUUAACGAAUGAUUUAUUGUUAUACCUAGAGAAAAUAGACGAUCAACUCCAGGUUGACUGCGUAACUCGGCCUUUGAACAUAGCUUUCUCCAUACAUGAGCCAAGCAUUAUUGAUUUGGAGUACUUUUCAUUUUGAGAAUUAUAUUUUAAAAACCUGGAAAUAUUUUGUUUCAGCUUCUGACAGAUGUCGCUAGAGGGUUCAAUGGUCACUUAUGACUAUAAUAAUAUCCUCUGUAUUGUUGUUGUUGUUAUGAAUACUUUUUAAGAAUUAUUUUUUACAGCUGAAACAAUAUGUAAUGUUAUUAAUAUUUUCUAAGACAAUAAAUUAAAAUGAAAAAAAAAAUUAUGCAUAUUAAAUCUCAAAUUUUAUAAAAGCAUAGUUCAUAAAAUAGAAAAUGAAUUAU
rnacentral:lncRNA from 1 species